rnacentral:rRNA from 1 species
UUGAACGCUGGCGGCAUGCCUUACACCUGCAAGUCGAACGGCAGCGCGGGAGCAAUCCUGGCGGCGAGUGGCGAACGGGUGAGUAAUACAUCGGAACGUGCCCAAUCGUGGGGGAUAACGCAGCGAAAGCUGUGCUAAUACCGCAUACGAUCUACGGAUGAAAGCAGGGGAUCGCAAGACCUUGCGCGAAUGGAGCGGCCGAUGGCAGAUUAGGUAGUUGGUGAGGUAAAGGCUCACCAAGCCUUCGAUCUGUAGCUGGUCUGAGAGGACGACCAGCCACACUGGGACUGAGACACGGCCCAGACUCCUACGGGAGGCAGCAGUGGGGAAUUUUGGACAAUGGGCGAAAGCCUGAUCCAGCCAUGCCGCGUGCAGGAUGAAGGCCUUCGGGUUGUAAACUGCUUUUGUACGGAACGAAACGGUCUUUUCUAAUAAAGAAGGCUAAUGACGGUACCGUAAGAAUAAGCACCGGCUAACUACGUG